UACGGAGGGUGCGAGCGUUGUCCGGAAUUUAUUGGGCGUAAAGAGCUCGUAGGCGGUCUGUCGCGUCGGCUGUGAAAACCCGGAGCUCAACUCCGGGCCUGCAGUCGAUACGGGCAGACUGGAGUUCGGCAGGGGAGACUGGAAUUCCUGGUGUAGCGGUGAAAUGCAUAGAUAUCAUCCAGAACACCGAUUGCGAAGGCAGGUGGCUACGUUUUGAUUUGACACUGAGGCACGAAAGCAUGGGGAGCAAACAGG
rnacentral:rRNA from 1 species